AUCUGACUACACCAAAUUCCCAAUCUGCGAGAAGGACUGGAGAAAGGUUCGCUCUAGGGACAAGAUAUAUAAUAAAUGUGUAAAGGAAUUGUUCCAUUUUGAAGAAGAUAGUGGAGGAAUUAUCAAGCGUACGAUAUUAAAAAUGCUAGGAAGGACUUGGAAGGACAUGAGGAAUCAUUUGUAUCAUUACUUUUACGAUGAAGAGCUGACCCUUGAAGAAAAUAUUAGAGGCCAUCCACCGAGAAUUACUGCAGAUCAUUGGAGAUGGUUCCUUGAUUAUCGCAACAGUGAAGAAACAAAGGAGAAGUGUAGGAAAAAUGCUGAGAAUUGAUCGAAGCAAUUAUACACUCAUACUGGCGGAUCGAAAAGCUUGGCAAGGCUCGAAGAAGAAGAGGUAAUUUACU